AUACGGAGGGUGCAAGCGUUAAUCGGAAUUACUGGGCGUAAAGCGUACGUAGGCGGUUUAUUAAGUCAGAUGUGAAAGCCCCGGGCUUAACCUGGGAACUGCAUUUGAAACUAGUAGACUAGAGUAUGGUAGAGGGGGGUAGAAUUCCUAGUGUAGCGGUGAAAUGCGUAGAUAUUAGGAGGAAUACCAGUGGCGGAGGCGGCCCCCUGGACCAAUACUGACGCUGAGGUACGAAAGCGUGGGGAGCGAACAGGAUUAGAUACCCCAGUAGUCC
rnacentral:rRNA from 1 species